rnacentral:lncRNA from 1 species
AGCAUUAGGUCUGCGUUUCUUUCUCUCCUUUUCUUUGAGAGUCGGUAGUUCCCUCGCGGCGCCGGCCCGUUGGCCUCGACCAACGGCUCCGCGUCGCCGCCGGCUGGGUCAACGCGGCGGUCGGCGCGGCGUCAGCGGUGGGGGUCGUUGAGAGAGCCGAUUGGGUGGAUUCAGGGAGGGGGCGUCGCAGGGGGGGGCCCACAGGCGGGCGGCGAGAAGGAAGAAUGCCCCCCG